rnacentral:rRNA from 1 species
AGAGUUUGAUCCUGGCUCAGGACGAACGCUGGCGGCGCGCCUAACACAUGCAAGUCGAACGAGCGAGAGAGAGCUUGCUUUCUCGAGCGAGUGGCGAACGGGUGAGUAACGCGUGGGGAACCUGCCUCAAAGAGGGGGACAACAGUUGGAAACGACUGCUAAUACCGCAUAAGCCCACGGGUCGGCAUCGACCAGAGGGAAAAGGAGCAAUCCGCUUUGAGAUGGCCUCGCGUCCGAUUAGCUAGUUGGUGAGGUAACGGCCCACCAAGGCGACGAUCGGUAGCCGGACUGAGAGGUUGAACGGCCACAUUGGGACUGAGACACGGCCCAGACUCCUACGGGAGGCAGCAGUGGGGAAUAUUGCACAAUGGGGGAAACCCUGAUGCAGCGACGCCGCGUGGAGGAAGAAGGUCUUCGGAUUGUAAACUCCUGUUGUUGAGGAAGAUAAUGACGGUACUCAACAAGGAAGUGACGGCUAACUACGUGCCAGCAGCCGCGGUAAAACGUAGGUCACAAGCGUUGUCCGGAAUUACUGGGUGUAAAGGGAGCGCAGGCGGGAAGACAAGUUGGAAGUGAAAUCUAUGGGCUCAACCCAUAAACUGCUUUCAAAACUGUUUUUCUUGAGUAGUGCAGAGGUAGGCGGAAUUCCCGGUGUAGCGGUGGAAUGCGUAGAUAUCGGGAGGAACACCAGUGGCGAAGGCGGCCUACUGGGCACCAACUGACGCUGAGGCUCGAAAGUGUGGGUAGCAAACAGGAUUAGAUACCCUGGUAGUCCACACCGUAAACGAUGAUUACUAGGUGUUGGAGGAUUGACCCCUUCAGUGCCGCAGUUAACACAAUAAGUAAUCCACCUGGGGAGUACGACCGCAAGGUUGAAACUCAAAGGAAUUGACGGGGGCCCGCACAAGCAGUGGAGUAUGUGGUUUAAUUCGACGCAACACGAAGAACCUUACCAAGUCUUGACAUCCUGCGACGAUGCUGGAAACAGUAUUUUCCUUCGGGACGCAGAGACAGGUGGUGCAUGGUUGUCGUCAGCUCGUGUCGUGAGAUGUUGGGUUAAGUCCCGCAACGAGCGCAACCCUUACUGUCAGUUACUACGCAAGAGGACUCUGGCAGGACUGCCGUUGACAAAACGGAGGAAGGUGGGGAUGACGUCAAAUCAUCAUGCCCUUUAUGACUUGGGCUACACACGUACUACAAUGGCGUUAAACAAAGAGAAGCAAGACCGCGAGGUGGAGCAAAACUCAGAAACAACGUCCCAGUUCGGACUGCAGGCUGCAACUCGCCUGCACGAAGUCGGAAUUGCUAGUAAUCGUGGAUCAGCAUGCCACGGUGAAUACGAACCCGGGCCUUGCACUCACCGCCCGUCA